UUGUCAGGGAUUUGGGGGAGGGAGGGAUGAAUAGGGAGAACAUAGAGGAAUUCUAGGGCAUUGAAACUACAACAUAUAAAGAACUCCUACAAAUCAAAAACAAAAGAAAACACACACACAAUUAAACAUAGGCAAAAGACUUGACGAGACAUUUCACAAAAGUAGACAUACAAGUGGCUAAUAAGCACAUGAAAAGGUACUCAACAUUAUUAGUCAUCAGGGAAAUAUUAAAACCACAUUGAAAUUCCACUUCACACCCACUAAAAUGGCUAAAACUAAGAAGACUGACAACAUCAAUUGUUGCUGAAUGUGUAGUGCAGUGGAACUGUCACACACUGCUGGUGGGUGUAUAACAUGAUACAGCCUCUUUGCAUUAUUGGGAGCUUUUAAUAAAUUACACCCGCCUAAUGACUGAGCAGUUCCACUCCUGGCUUAUCCAAAAGAAUGAAAAUAUAUAUUCACAAAAAUGUAACCAAGAAUGUUAAUGGCAGCUUUAUUUCUAACAACCCAAAACUGGAAACAAAUACAAAUGUCUGCCAACAAGAUUAUGGAUUUUUUUUUUAAAAGUACAUUUAUACAAAGGAAUAUUAAUCCAUGUUAAAGGGAAGGAACUACUAAUACAACAAUAUGAAUGAAUCUCUAAACCAUUGCACAGAGUAAGCAAAUCAGACAGAAAAUAACACUUACUGUUUAAUUCCAUUUAUGUGACUUCAAGAGCAGACAAACUCACUGAUGAUGACAGAAAUUAGAAUAAAAUUGCCUAUUUGGGAAGGGAGAGUGACUGAAGGAGGACAUGAAGGGACUUGCUAGGGGUGGUGGAAGUGUCUUAUAUCUUGACUGGGCAGUGGUUACAUGAAUAUACACACUUGUUAAGACUAAUCCAAUUAUAUACUUAGCAUAUAUUGCAUUUUGUUGCAUGUAAAUUUAACUUUUAUAGAAAGAAAGGUCACCAGAUAAUUACCUUACACUGGUUAAGCAAGACAUAUCAUUUAUGAAUCUUUUUCAUUUUCUUUCCCCCUAUGCCUAGGAGAGUAUUCAGAACACAAUGAGUGCUCAAUAUAUGUCUGAGAAAAGUUAAACAAAUGAACCAAUUGUUUAGGCAGUUAUAGGCAUACAAUGAGACGUUCACGUAGCUUCUUUUAGGCAUGUGUUGAAUUUCCUUACACAGAAAAGGGCUUUCCUUCUGUGCUUUUCAUAGACUGUCAAUGACUGCUCUAGCUUUGAGCAAAGUAACUCUCUUUGGCAGUCAAUCUACAUGUAAGAGUACACAUGUGCGUGUCUCCUUUGUAUAAUCAAUUGUUUUGGGUUGUUCUCCUGUGAUAUAACUGUUUAAAUGGACUAAUCGUUUUGAAAAAAAUUGUCUUAUCACAUAAAAUGUAUAGUAAAAAUAAACUGAAAACUAAACCACAAGUACUUUUGAGAAAGAUAUCUUUGCUCAAUUAAUUAAUGCUUUUCAAGAUAAUUUCCCCUCAAAAAUAGAGGAAUGCCUGCAGGUAUUCCAUAUUGUGUAUUUUUUGCUCCAAGACUGUUUCCAAACUAAAACAUUUAUUAUGAGAAAUAUUUCUUCCACUAAUAAUUUUAAAGUUUUAAAAAAUAAAAAAAUUAUAUAUUUAUAGAUUGAUAAUUUAUGUUAUGCUAAUGUGAAAAAAAUCUUUUUUUCUUAAAUGUACAUCCUUAAAAUAAAGUAACUUUUGGUAUCUAUAUAUAUAAGCCCAAGCGACCAUUAUGACUGAACGACCGGAACAACCAGAAUGACUGGACGACUGGCCGGUAGCUAUGAUGUGCACUGACCCAAACCUCGCUGCUGGUGCCCUGACAGCCCUGAAUCUGAUGAGGUCGCAUUCCUUUCUUCUCCCCUGUCCAGCAUGGGAUGGCCCCUCCGUUAAGCAGACAUCUGGUUUAAAUUCCUGCCAUAUGUGAUAAAUCAAUGCAUAACAGGAUUAAAGCUAAUAUUGCCAAGACUGGAGCCCUCUGAGAAAUGGUGUUCCAUAGUGUGUAAUUAACAAUGACCCUCAAGAGGAAGUUACUCUUAUUGCCUUUCUCUUCUCCGCCUCACUGACAUUUGUUAUGUGUCUGUCUCCACUACUGGAUGCUGGGUUCUUUGAGGAGAGGUUCUAUGUCUUAUGCCUCUUUGAAUUGCUGAGUCUGGUUAAUUGUAGACUCUUACUAAAGGAAUGUAUAAAUGAACAUGUAUGUAAAUAGACUUGAAACAUUAAUUUUAAAGUUGUACUGUUUAUGUCAUU